rnacentral:rRNA from 1 species
UACAGAGGAGCCAAGCGUUGUCCGGAUUGACUGGGCGUAAAGCGCACGCAGGCGGAUGCGCGCGUGGGGUGUGAAAUCUGGCCGCUUAACGGCCAGGCGCCAUCCCAUACGGCGCGUCUGGAGUGAUGCAGAGGUCGAUGGAAUUGCCGGUGUAGUGGUGAAAUGCGUAGAGAUCGGCAGGAACACCCAGGGGGAAACCAGUCGACUGGGCAUCUACUGACGCUGAGGUGCGGGAGCGUGGGGAGCGAACCGG